AUUGCUUUGCAGCAGAUCGCACAUUAUUGAAGUUUGUGUGUGUGUGUGUCUGUAUCCCCUAAGCUAAAUUCAGGUGUCAGCAGUUAAAAGCUUCUGGGGAGUUUUUUGGUUGUAAAAUCCUAAAACUCAGCUACCAAAAUAGUGACAAAGAAAGCUAGGCUGGAGCCAAGACUUUUGGGAAUCACCCUAUCCAUGGAGAAACACUGGAGCCACACAGGAAAGUCAGCAGAUAAUUUUCCAGCAACCCCUCAGGUGUGUGUGUGGUGU